rnacentral:rRNA from 1 species
UGACGGUACCUUAGGAGGAAGCCCCGGCUAACUACGUGCCAGCAGCCGCGGUAAUACGUAGGGGGCGAGCGUUGUCCGGAAUUACUGGGCGUAAAGGGCGCGUAGGCGGCCGCUUAAGUGAGGGGUGAAAGGCCACGGCUCAACCGUGGAAUUGCCUUUCAAACUGGGCGGCUAGAGUGCAGGAGAGGGAAGCGGAAUUCCCGGUGUAGCGGUGAAAUGCGUAGAGAUCGGGAGGAACACCAGUGGCGAAGGCGGCUUCCUGGACUGUAACUGACGCUGAGGCGCGAAAGCUGGGGGAGCAAACAGGAUUAGAUACCCUGGUAGUCCCAGCCGUAAACGAUGGAUGCUAGGUGUCGGAGGUAUCGACCCCUUCAGGUGCCGUGAGUAACGCAAUAAGCACCCCGCCU